rnacentral:lncRNA from 12 species
CAGCCAGAACCAUUACAGCUUAGUCCUAUCUGAGAAAUGGCAUUUAAUCCCCACACUGUUUAUUUAACUCUGCACGACAGUUGUGUAAUGUCAUGCUGUUCUGUCCUGAUCUUAUUCCACAGGGAAGCUUUUCAGCUCAGGAAAUUCAUGGAUCAAACUGCCAGGUCUCGGUGUUUUGCAGAUCUCUGCCAGGAAAAACACACUUCUGUUUUUCCCACUGAGAUGUUGACACAGGAAUCUCAAACAUCUGUCUCCCCUUGUUUCUUGAUGGACAAUGUACUGGGGAUGGAGGAACAGGAGAAUGUGUAAGAAACACCAUCUAA